rnacentral:rRNA from 1 species
UCAAUCUAACCUAUGGACGAGGAUAACCUCGGGAAACUGAGAAUAAUACUCGAUAGAUCAUUAUGCCUGGAACGGUUUAUGGUUCAAAUGAAUUUCGCCAUAGGGUGGGACUGCGGUCUAUCAGCUUGUUGGUGAGGUAAUGGCCCACCAAGGCUAUAACAGAUACGGGCUCUGAGAGGAGAAGCCCGGAGAUGGGUACUGAGACACGGACCCAGGCCCUAUGGGGCGCAGCAGGCGAGAAAACUUUGCAAUGUGCGAAAGCACGACAAGGUUAAUCCGAGUGGUUCCUGCUAAAGGAACCUUUUGUUAGUCAUAAUACCACUGAUGAAUAAGGGGUGGGCAAGUUCUGGUGUCAGCCGCCGCGGUAAAACCAGCACCUCAAGUGGUCAGGAGGAUUAUUGGGCCUAAAGCAUCCGUAGCCGGCUCUGUUAGUUUUCGGUUAAAUCUAUACGCUCAACGUAUGGGCUGCCGGGAAUACUGCAAAGCUAGGAAGUGGGAGAGGUAGACGGUACUCCGUAGGAAGGGGUAAAAUCCUUUGAUCUAUUGAUGACCACCUGUGGCGAAGGCGGUCUACCAGAACACGUUUGACGGUGAGGGAUGAAAGCUGGGGGAGCAAACCGGAUUAGAUACCCGGGUAGUCCCAGCUGUAAACUAUGCAAACUCAGUGAUGCAUUGGCUUGUGGCCAGUGCAGUGCCGCAGGGAAGCCGUUAAGUUUGCCGCCUGGGAAGUACGUACGCAAGUAUGAAACUUAAAGGAAUUGGCGGGGGAGCACCACAAGGGGUGAAGCCUGCGGUUCAAUUGGAGUCAACGCCGGA